UACAGAGUGAGCAAGCAUUAUCCAUCCUAACUGGGUAUAAAGAGUGUGUAGGUUGAUAAUAAAUAAAAGACUAGAUAGAAAUUGCUAUGUUUGGGUAGUGGGUUCUAGUACCAAUUAUCUUUGAGAAGCAAAAAGGUUGUUAGAAUAUGCAGUGUUCAAUUGUUCGGGAAACUGUCGAUCUUGUAGGGACUACCAAUAGCGAAGGCAUUCAACCAGUUGCAUUCUGACGCUGAGACACGAAAUCGUGGGGAGCAAAAGGG
rnacentral:rRNA from 1 species